CUUUAGGCAAAUACAAUUGUCAGACAGCUGGCCAGAGUUAUUCGUUUAAUAGUAAAAGAAGAUGUUCUCUUUCUUGCACCAAAUUAAUACAGUUUGUGUCUUCUUUCAGGAAACCCUGUGCACCGGAGACUGCCCUGUUCACAGUACUGGCUGCACGAUUUCAUAAAUCCCAAGCUUGUUCUGCUGCGUCUGUGUGCAUCGUGCCGCAUCAGUACCUGGAGCAGGCAGCUCCAGCUUCGCCCUCCUGAGCUCCGACAUGGACGCCUGUAGCUGCUCAAUCACAAAGUCGUCCUCGAAAAAGAAAUCUUUG